rnacentral:sRNA from 1 species
AAAAGAGGUAUGCGGUGGCAUCCUAUGCUAAUUAAAUGGUGCAUAUAUUUGAAAAGUAAAUCAACAUCAACUUAUGACAGUUUAAGACACUCAGGUUUUAUUAAGCUUCCUAGUGAAAGAUUGCUUUACGACUACACUCAUGUGAUUAAGCAAGGUGUAGGAUUUAAGCCUGAACUUAUUGACAUGUUAGCAGACGAAAUGGAAUCUAAAGGUGCAACAGAAGAAUGGCAACAAUAUGUAGGACUACUACAAGAUGAAAUAAAAGUAAAGAGUGAGUUAGUAUAUGACAAACAUUCAGGUGAAUUGAUUGGCUUCAUAGAUCUCGACAGCAUGUCAAAUAGUCUAAUCCAUAUGGAGGAAUGCAUUAAAGAAGAAGCAAAGAAGCUAGCUACGCACAUUUUAGUUGUAAUGGUACGCGGAAUAUCAGUUGACCUCAAGUUCCCACUUGCUCAUUUCGCCACCAAUGGAAUAACAUCGGACCAACUGUUUGGAAUUUUAUGGGAAUGUGUGGAGUUAGUUGAGAUUGAUGCUGGACUUAAGGUGUUGUACAUUACUGCUGAUGGUGCCUCACCCAAUAGAAGAUUCAUAAAACUUCACAAAACAGAUGAACAACAGACAACUGUGUACCGCGCUAUAAACAGAUUUGCUGCAGAUGAACGAUACAUAUAUUUUGUUUCAGAUCCACCCCAUCUGAUCAAAACAGCAAGGAAUUGUUUCUCAAAUUCAGGCUCACACAAGAAUACCAGAAAGAUGUGGUGUGGAGGUAAAGAUGUGUCAUGGAUGCAUAUUGUAGAUCUAUAUAAGGACCACUGUACUGGAGUCUUUAGAUUGUGUCCAAAGUUAUCAAGGGCCCACAUUGACAUAACAUCCUUUGGUGCAAUGAAAGUAAGUCUGGCAGCCCAAGUUUUAAGUACCACUGUGGCCAAUGCUCUAGAAAUGGUUUAUGGGGAUAGAACUAGUGCUACAACAGAGUUUAUACGCCACAUGGACAAAUUUUUUGACUGUCUUAAUGUCCGAAACUUGAAUGAAGGUCACCAGAAGAGAAAAGACAAUCUUAAACCAUUUACAGACCCAAAUGAUCCCAGGUUGGACUAUCUGACUGAUGAUUUUUUGAAGUAUUUUGAUGAUUGGAAGCAAAGUGUUGAAGCAAGACCUGGAGAAUACAGCAAGACACAGAAAAAUCAAAUGCAGUUAAGCUACCAGACAUUAGAAGGCUUUCGGAUAACUGUUCGUUCUGUUGUGGAAUGUACACGUCUGUUAUUACGUAAAGGAAUGCCAUUUGUGUUGACAGAAAGGUUUAACCAAGACCCAAUUGAACAGCAUUUUGGGAUACAUAGGACCAGUGGUGGUUGCAAUAACAAUCCAACUGUAAACCAGUUUAACCAUGCUAUGGUCAAAAUAAGGACAGUAGGUCAGCAUGCAAUUGCACCAGUGAGGGGUAAUACCAAAAGGAGACUGAACUAUCCACAUGUCAUAGACAAUAAUCCUCUUCCAAAGCGUCCACGUCACUCAUUGUAAAGAUAGUACAAAUAUAGACAUAUUUUUUGAAAGUGUAUCAUAAGGAUGUUUGAUGGUCAUGUUUUGAUGUUAUUGUAAAAAAAAAAUUCAAAAUCAUCUGAGUUUAUACAUUUAAGUCAUAAGAUAUUGUAACUUUUAAGUGAUUAACGUGUUUAAGUAAUGAAAAGUCUUAUAAAAUACCCCCAAUCAACC